GCUGGGAGCGGGGAGCUGCGUGCCGCAAGUUUUGCCCGGAGUGCCAAAGUUGGGCUCGGCUCAGGUUCUUGGAAACUUGAGGAGCAAUCUUCAGUUCCUGAAGAAUGCAGUUCUCACCGGAUGUGUGUAUCCUACAUUAAAGAGAACAGAAGCAGGAUCAGCUGGUGUCCAGGAAAGACAACUUCAGGAGAUUCGGGAGCACUCUGGAGUGAACCAGGAGGAAGCCUUGAACUACAGUUGUGUCAAUAAGAGUGGCUGUCCUUUGGAGUUGCUGAAGCUCAGCUUUAUGAUGGACUUAUCUUUUGUUUCUCAACAUGUGCACAAAGGACUGAAUUUUGUUUGGGAUUCAUAUGGUAUGAAAGAAUCAUGGCUGUAUGGUUUCUUCCUCCUUUCACUUAAGUCUGCAUGUUUCCUGCAGUCAGUAAUGAAGUCUGUACAAGGUCUGCUGACAUUUGGUCUGCUUUCAAGAGCUCUGAGUGACAGGUACUGUAAACAUCCUACACUCUCAGCUGUGGAAACUAAGAAAGCUGGGAGAAGGCUGUUUACUCUCCCUGCCUUGGAUAUCAUCUGGAGGGUGAGGAUGGAACAUUGUGAGCUGUGUGUUCAUUGUAUUUCUGACAGCCUGUAUUUCUUAUUUUAUGUUUGGUGUCAGUAAACAAAUAAUAGCAUUAUGUCAUGCCAUCAGGCUCUUGCAUUCUGACUAAGGCUUGAACUCAUAAUAACUUAAAAAAGGUCCUUCUUUACAAUGUACUUACUUUCAGUCCUGGCUUGAUGGAAACUAAUGAUAGCAGUAACACUCAGCAAGGCCUUCAUCCUUAAAUACUGGGUAAAGCAGACCUAUUUUACUGUUUGUUCACAAGUUAGUGUGCAUGUUUUCAGGUUCACACGUCAGUGGUGUAUUUUGUUCAAGUCUUCCUUAAAUGUUUGGAUCUUGUGUUCACUCAAUUUGUUUUCCUACCUAGAGGGACUAGAAACAGAUGUCUGAAGGCAAAAAAAAGAGUUCUAGGGGAUUUCAAGUUUCUGUUCCUAUUUGAAGAAAUUGAGAUAUCAACCCCAAUUAGCUCUAUUUAGAAAUAAACUGAAUUAAAUAUGCAGAAGUAUUUAGCUUGGAUUUUAUACUGGCUCUUCUGUGCCACUUGCCAUCCAGACUGAAUUAUUUGUUGUACUUUUCUUGGCAAUUUUUCUUCCUUUUCUUGUUUCUUUCUAUUUCCCAUUAGUUAAGUAGGGCUUCUCAUUUUAAAUGCAGAAUAACUUUUUUCUUGAAUUUUAAAUCUAAAAUCCUACUCGCGUGGUCUGUAUCCUCAUAAAAUGUACUUUUACAGCUAUUCUUAAGCAGUGAUGUUGGCAGAAACGCAAUGAUUCGUGCACUUUCUUUUUUUAAAUUUAUUGGAGGGGGGCAUCUUUUGUGCUUUUGAAGAAGUUUUUCAUAAUGCAGUUAAAUUCAAAGAUAACCUUUUUUGCUCUGUCAUCAUAUUUUAAUAUCUGCUACUUUAGAUUUUUAGUAAAGGUAUUUAAAGAAAAAGCUCUGACAUGAGAUGUCCUAAAGGUUUUAAAUAAUUUGGGAAGUGAUGGAAAUGUAGAGAGAACAGCAGAAUGGUAGAUCUAGUAAGGUUUUGAAAUAGUACUUCUACAAAGUGGUCAAAAAAAGGAAUUAGAGCAGGCAGAUCUCUAAAGAAAAAAAGGGGGGAAAAGUCCAUGUUUUGAAGCGGUAAUUAUUUAGGAAAAGGAAAUGGAGGGGAAAAAAACACAGGGUUCAGUGAAGUGCUAUAGACAGGAUUUAAGAUGAUGAGAUGAUGUCUGACUGUACAUAAGCACCAGUUCUUCAGGUUUAUGAGAUUUUGGCUCUUGAUAUGUCUAGCGAUACUAGAAGUGAGGUCAGUCUUAUAAAAAUAUGGUUUUGUGGAGAAAUAAGCUGUUGAGACUAGUGAAACGAUAGAGGGUAGCAUUUCCUAACAGACAUGGUUCCCUUGGCAGAGAUCUCCAAGAGUGAUGGAGCACAGAAUUGUAUCCUCAUCGUAAUCGAUAAUUCUGAUUGUAGGCUGUGCUGUUGAGAUCAGACAGUUUCUUGAAAGGAGGCAUCAGCUUUAAUAUGUUUUACUGUUUUUUAUUUUUAAUUUAGAUUUGCUUUAGGCUAGGAACUGUUAUUUUCUGUCAAAUAGAAAAGAACUUUGUUUAACGUUAUCUAUUUGUUGUCUAAUGAUGAAAUUCCAUCUUUGAUUUUAUCUGUGUAAGUUGGGACUGUUGAAGCUUUUCUCAUACAUUUUUCCUUGGCCAUUCUUUCCUAUGUCUUCACUUGUGCUGGUAUUCAUGUUUGCUUAAACUGUGAGCUUAGUUCAGUGGCUUGACUCAGCUGAAAAUUAAACAAGCAAACAGCUUUUAUUUGGACCAUAUGAGAUAACAGUUUACUGCACUACUGUGAUGUGGUGGCCAAAAUGCUAGUACCUUCAAGUAUGAUCACCUUUCUAAAGGGCCAGAACAGCUUUUCCUGUAAAUAAGACCAUCAAAUCCUAAUGCAAUAAGCGGGUGAAAAUAAAGGGUUUUACAUGGUUUUUGGAUUUGGCAGUAGAUUGUUCUAUUGAUGCUGUUUGAAAGCAAUUGCCAGCAUAGCGCGGAAAUAAAUUCAGAUUAAAUUAUCGUGAUUAAAGCUUUUGAUUUCUUGACAGCUAUUUAUGCUUCUGUGUCUUUGAAAGAUUUGUUUAUAAAGUGUAAUAAAAUAAUUGUGUUGGUAA